rnacentral:rRNA from 1 species
UACGUAGGGGGCAAGCGUUGUCCGGAUUUAUUGGGCGUAAAGAGCGUGUAGGCGGCCAAGCAGGUCCGCUGUGAAAACUCGAGGCUCAACCUCGAGACGUCGGUGGAAACCGUUUGGCUAGAGUCCGGAAGAGGAGAGUGGAACUGCGAGUGUAGAGGUGAAAUUCGUAGAUAUUCGCAAGAACACCAGUGGCGAAGGCGGCUCACUGGCCCGAUACUGACGCUGAGGUGCGAAAGCGUGGGGAGCAAACAGG